GAUGAACGCUAGCGGCAGGCUUAACACAUGCAAGUCGAGGGGCAGCAUAAAUAGUAGCAAUACUAUUGGUGGCGACCGGCGGACGGGUGCGUAACGCGUAUACAACCUUCCCUAAACAGGGGGAUAAUCUGGAGAAAGUCGGUCUAAUACCCCAUAACAUCAGAGCAGGCAUCUGUUUUGGUUAAAAUUUCCGGAGGUUUAGGAUGGGUAUGCGUAGCAUUACCUAGUUGGUGAGGUAACGGCUCACCAAGGAGACGAUGCUUAGGGGGACUGAGAGGUUAACCCCCCACACUGGUACUGAGACACGGACCAGACUCCUACGGGAGGCAGCAGUGAGGAAUAUUGGUCAAUGGGCGGAAGCCUGAACCAGCCAUGCCGCGUGCAGGAUGACGGCUCUAUGAGUUGUAAACUGCUUUUGUACGAGGGUAAAGUGGGCUACGUGUAGCCUUUUGAAAGUAUCGUACGAAUAAGGAUCGGCUAACUCCGUGCCAGCCGCCGCCGUAA
rnacentral:rRNA from 1 species